rnacentral:lncRNA from 1 species
CUGCUCGGCCGCCGCGCUGCGGCCGCGGGUCCCCCCGGAGCCCCGCGCUGCCGGCGCCGCGGCGGAGGUCGGGCGGAGGGGAUGGCGGCGCUGCGCGGUGCGGUGCCGGCGGCCGCAGCGCUGCCCGCUCCCGGCGGCGGCGGAGCGAGCGCGCACACGUGACGCGGCGCUCGGUGCUCCUACACCGCCGCGCACACACACACACACACACAUACACAUACACACGCUCACACACACGCACACCCGGCGCUGCCCUCGGCUCCUCCGGCCGCGUUCUCCGCCUCCCGCUCCCGUCCGCACUCGUCCGCCGGCCGCGCAGGGCGAAGCGCGCUCCGAGGCGGCAGCACCGGCACCGGCGGCGGCGACCGCGAAAGAGGCGGCGAGAGUUCGCGUGCACCGGCUGCUGCGUGCCCGCCCGGCGAGCGGUGCGCCCGGAGAAUGGCCGGCUGCGGGCUGUCUGAAGACGCGUUCUUCUCCUCCUUCUUUUACAACUACACCGCCUCCUGGGAGACCUCCUACAACCAGGUCACUUCCAAUCUUCACCCAGGGCAGUGUCAACGAAGGACUUUUGUUGAAUUCAAGUAGACUUUAUCACAAUGAUCUCUCAUCCCUGCAUGCUCAGUGAUUUUUUUUCAGAGGACUCUCAUGUAUCCAAAAGGCACAAUUUCCUUCUACAAAAGCCAUGUUGAUCUUUUUGCAAAAGGAGAGGUCAUUCAAUUGUUGUCAGUAAGGGGCAUUUGAAAGCUGAAAAUUCAGUGGUGAUUAAAAACUAAUCAAAAACUAGUUGUGAAACUGAAUUUUUGACUCUUUGCUUACAGAGCUGUGGUGUUAGUAAGCACACUGAAUAUUGGGGAUAUUGACUGGCUUGAGAGUAUUGAAUUUGAAGUAAUUUCGGGUAGUUAUUUUAAAAUGGUUUGGUUCAUGAUUCAGCGGAAAACAUGCUUUGCACGCAGACCUUAUUUGAAUGCCAAAUCUGAAAUUCUAACACUAAGCUGUUUUCUAGAUAUUCAUCCUUCUAGCAGAAGUAGUGGCCGCACUAUUUUACAUUUCCGUAACUUCCAUGUAUAUGAGAGGAUUUUUGCCAAACAGCUGUAUUGCCAAAAAUGGCAUUCUACUGAGGGGAGAAAAAGCAUAGAUAAACAGGUUGUCAUAAUGCUGUAGUAGAUUCAAAAGGUUCUGCUUCUCCUAUAUUUCUAUAUCUCCUAUAUCUGCAAAAAAGAACACAUACAUGGAAUUAUCUAUGAAGUCUACGUCCAUUCAGCAGACGUUAGAUAAGCAGUACUGUGUUUUUUCCACACUGUCUUUGUUAUUUGUUUUCUGAGGGAGUUGUGAGAAAUAAAACCUUUACUGAAUCCCUGGAUUUUCUUUAU